CUGUGAUUGGUCGUCCAUGUUGGCAUCCUCUGAUUUCGACCAAUCAGACACGUCGCUGCGUGAGCGAGUGCGUCGAUUUGUGGCGCAUUGCGUCAUUCGUCUUCGAAGCUUCGUUUGCUUAACACGCGUCUGCAACAGAAUUGCAGUCGAAUAAAGAAUAAAACAUCACAAGCGUGAUAUGAAAUUAUUAAAUGAAUCUUCAUCAAAAUAAAUAGAAUGAUCAACCAAUGCCAAUAUGCCAAUACUCUACCUACUAUAAUACUCUACAACAUCAAUCUGCUGAGGAGACCAUUUGCCGAGGACACCAUCCGCCGGGUUUAUUGUACCUUCCCCCCAAUAGGUGCUCAUCGGUUCAGUGAGUCCCAUGAAUUAAAAAUUUUAUUCUUAUUUUAAGUGAGCAUAGUGACCCAUGAGUGAAUGUAUACUCAUGGAGUAUAUAUGUUACAUACCAUUCAUAUCUUUUUUGUUUGUUAUAUUGUUAUAUUUCUUAGUUCAGGCUAGGGUCUUCUUGUCUCUUUUUAAAAAAUAGUUUGUAGGAUAGAAGUCGGAUGAUCCUCCGAUUUCACAAAUAAAAUAUAAUUUAAAAAAUAUUUUUUUAAUUAAAGGAAAUUUAAAUUUUGAUAAUGUAUAUAAAGUUUGUAUAUUUUAUAUGCAGUAAAUAUUACGUACAUUUGCUACAAUACAUUGAUUAUACUAUAAUAUUUCAAUGCAGUAUAUUAUUAUAUUGUCGAUUUAAAUAUGUUUUAUGAGCAAGAAGACAUUUCGCGACGGUUAGAUUCUAACGUCGAAGUAAUAUUUUCGAAUGUACAUUUGAUGUAACUUAGAUCAUUUACUUCGACAUGCAAUCAGCCGAGGAUGUAUUACAUGUAUAUUAAUUAUUGAAUUAUAUUUUCCACAGAUACUAUUUUUGCUUAAAGUAAAGUGAUUUUUUUACAUAUUUGUUUUUUGCUAUAAUUAAAUGCAAUUUGUUUAGAGUUCUUUAUAAUUGGAGUAUUGUAUUUUAUACAGAACCAUUUUUUAAUAUUUUAUUCUAAUUAAGUUCAAUCUAAUUAAUUCAAAGAAAAUCAUAGUUCUAAUGUGAGACUAUUAUACAGAAUAAUUUACUUUCAAAAUUAAAAUGUUUAUUAGCCCGUUAGCUUUACAUUCUACUAAUCUAUCAUUUUAGCUUAGGAUUUUCAGCUUCACACGGUAGGUGUAUUAUUUCUUUGCCCGUAUUCAUUACUUACUAGCCUGAGCUCAUCAACAAACCCAGGUGUGCGUUGUAUGGGUAAGGGUGGUGGGUACGGUUUUAGAAUUAAGCAAUAUUACAGCGAUUGACAAACGUAUUAGCGUAUCGUGCACGAUGUACGUUUCACAUGUGUGUGUGUGUUUAAAUUAGUGAAAUGUACGUCGAUUUUAUUAUUCAACUUAAAUAGUUUAUAUAAAUACAUACAGGAUAAAUAUAUUACAUAUCUAAUCAAUAUUUUCCAUAUUACAUACUGUAUGUAUAAUAUCAUUCAAUCAUAUUACAUUGAAUGGAUACUUGUUUGAGAAUAUUCAUGAAUAAAAAUCAUAAUAAUAUUUUACAAUAUAUGAAGGAAAUAUACCACUUGAAUACCAUAUUCUUUUUUGAAAUCAAUGAAAUACUAAUUAUUACUGUACUUAGUUUUAUAAAAAAGAGAAUGACUCAAAGUCAGCAUUAUAGCAUAAAUAAUUUUACAUUUCAAUAAGAGUUUUAUAUGACACAAUACAUUAAUAUUAUAUUAAUAACAACGCAAUGUACGCUACGUUGUCAGUCGAUUACAGCAAAUGGUACGUACAUAAAGUAUAAAUGUGUGUGUUACAAGCUUGGGUGACGGAGGCGUCUCGGGACGUUCUCUCUAGAGUAGGCUUGCACCCGAGUGUUGUGUGUGAGAACCGUGGAGUGUGUGUGUUGGAAUGAACGAGUUUUGCUUUUUUAAAUAUAGGGAUAGGCAGGCAGGUAGCUUACUU